UACGUAGGGGGCAAGCGUUGUCCGGAAUCAUUGGGCGUAAAGAGCUCGUAGGCGGCUUGUCGCGUCGACUGUGAAAACCCGCGGCUCAACUGCGGGCCUGCAGUCGAUACGGGCAGGCUAGAGUUCGGUAGGGGAGACUGGAAUUCCGGGUGUAGUGGUGGAAUGCGUAGAGAUCCGGAGGAACACCAGCGGCGAAGGCGGCGUCCUGGACUGGUACUGACGCUCAGGAGCGAAAGCGUGGGGAGCGAACAGG
rnacentral:rRNA from 1 species